AACUUUCCACAGGUAUCUUAAAAGCUUUGCUCACUCAUCCCUUCUCUGACUUAGGAUUUGAGCAUCUUUCUGUUAUGCUGUUGCCCCACUCCUAUUGCAAUACUCCCCUUCUUAAGAAAGUUUUUCUAGACUAAUGUCUAGAUUAAACUUCUUUUCUUUGACAAUAAUGAUGCCAUGACUUGGACAAAAUGCCCAUUGCCUCUGGGUCCUGCUUUCUUCACCCAGUGCUGCCUUAUUGGACUCCUUGUGCCUCUCCUUGGCUGGGGAAAUCAGAAUACACAGUGGUAUCCCACUUCUAAGAUGCCUGAUCUGAAGGACAGUAAAACAACUGACCUUUGCCAGCAUGUAAAACACAUGGUUUAACUAGUCCUCCAGGAACAACACUGAGCAAUCCUGACCUGGGACUACUUUACUCGGCCAUCUCCUACUUGAGAUGCUCCUUGUCUCUCUGUUCAAGGACACCUUUUCUGAGCCUUUCUUGAACAAGAGUGGAGGACCGAUAGGGCGAUUAAACUGUCCUUGACACAACUUUAGAGCUUCAACUGAGAAUCUAGAAGAGAGUAGAUGGAAAAAUAUUUUUCCCUCCCCUCCAAAUGCAAGGAUAAUCUUACACGAGUCCAGGAGGAAGGCUCAUUCCACACUAAGUGUUCUGA
rnacentral:lncRNA from 1 species